rnacentral:rRNA from 1 species
GAUGAACGCUAGCGGCAGGCUUAACACAUGCAAGUCGAGGGGUAACAGGAUUUAGUUUACUAGAUUGCUGACGACCGGCGCACGGGUGAGUAACGCGUAUACAAUUUGCCUUUUACUGAAGAAUAGCCCAGAGAAAUUUGGAUUAAUGCUUCAUAGUAUUAUUUGGUCACCUGGCCGAGUAAUUAAAGCUCCGGCGGUAAAAGAUGAGUAUGCGUCCUAUUAGCUAGAUGGUAAGGUAACGGCUUACCAUGGCGACGAUAGGUAGGGGUCCUGAGAGGGAGAUCCCCCACACUGGUACUGAGACACGGACCAGACUCCUACGGGAGGCAGCAGUGAGGAAUAUUGGGCAAUGGAGGCAACUCUGACCCAGCCAUGCCGCGUGCAGGAAGACUGCCCUAUGGGUUGUAAACUGCUUUUAUACAGGAAGAAACUUAUCCACGUGUGGAUAACUGACGGUACUGUAAGAAUAAGGACCGGCUAACUCCG